GGCACGGGUAUAAAGGGGGAUGUGGAAGUUGGGAUGCAGCACUUCUGAGCUGUGUGAUGUACAGUGAGGCGAUGGCAGUGUUUCUGGAGUAAAGCAAGAUCAGCACCAGCUGAAGCUGUUACUGGAGCCAGACUGAAAAACAGCAGCUAUUCCAACUGCUGCAAAAGGGAAGAACAAGGGUGCUCUUGUACUGCCAAACAAAUAUUGUAAGGAACUGAACCCAGUGUCGUCCUGUUUGCUGCCUGCCAAGUGUGGCCACCUGGAGGACAAGAAAGAUGCAAAGAAGAACACUGAUUUCACCUAUGUUCUACCCGCUUGAAAGAGAAGUGGUUGCACUUGUUAAAAUCUCGUGCAGUGACCUCACUUUACUGUAAAUAAAAAAAUGCAGGCUAGAGAUUGACAGAAGAGAUUUCAUUGUCUGAGUUCUUCAAAAAUCCCUGGUUGCUUCUAGGACUCGAGGAAUAUAAAAUUAGACAAUCUUUUUUUGUUAAACUUGGGAGUAAUUUGAGUUUUUUCAUAAAAAGACCAAAAACAAUGUACAGUGCACUCUUGGUACAGAAUAGUCAUAACUUGGACCACUUAUUAUCAGAUGCAAUUGUGCAAUAGUGCUUUUAUCUCUCUGCAUCUAAGUAGAGAACAUAAGACCAAAUUCAUUAAUUGAAGGCUUAACUUCAUUAUCCACAUAAAGUUUAUAAGAGCUCUUACUCUGACAUAGUGGCUUCUCUGAAAACACUUGUCAUGGUUUUAUCUAGAUAUCUAGACAUGAGGAAAUUUUAAGAGGGGUUUUGUAAAGGUUAGUUAAUUACAGAUAAUAAAUUUUGUUUUGCUGAUGUAGACUCCCAAAUGAUUUAAUUUUUCAACAAAGUGUGUUGAGCCAGUAAAUUAAAGCUUACCUUUUGUUUGCAGUGUUAUAUUUCCAAGCAAAUUAGAGGUGACAAUGAGAAGGAGGACCUUCCUUCAUGUUUCCUACUGUGCUUCAUCUUACAUGACAAAUUGCAUGGUAAAGGUGUUACUGAUUUCUCAUAACUUACAUUGCACAAUCAUUUGAAUAGCAUUAAACACUCUUAGGGGAAUAAAUUUACCUUGAUUAGACAUGGUACUAAAAGAUAAUCUAGUAUCUGUUUGCAUCUUGACUCUAGUCUGCUUUCAGUUUUUUAAGUUGUAUAAAUAUACUGCAAGCUACUUUGGGAAGUUCCAAGUGCACACAUUGUUAUUUCACCCAGAGAAACGAGUGUUAUUUUCUCUGUAUUCUUUGUAAACGUCUCUUUUCCUAGACUCAUUUAAUGGCUUGCUCAAUCUGUGACAUAGUUGUUUUCCCCUAACCUGAGGCACUGCAGAUGAUGCCUACUGCUUUCUGCUGCCCAUGAAAGGGGCCUACAGCUGUUGGUUUCUAGCUGAGGCACCGCAGGUCAUUGGAUGGGAGAAGCUGGGAACAGAUCUCACUCCUGACUCCCUGACUUGACUGCUUAGUUUUCUGGCUGCCUGCGCUGUUCAGAAACAUGAUUUACUGAACCUUGCCGACCAAGUGGGGCUGACAACGCAGCACUCUAACCCCUGAGCAGCUAUCUUUUUGACUGCUGCGUGGAAGAGGACAGUGGCACUCCACAGCAUCCCAUAGGGGUGGGGAUGAGAGCUGUUUUCUCUAUGGCCUUCAAAGAAUCACAGAAUUGUAGGGAUUGGAAGGGACAUCUGGAGUUCAUUGAGUCCAACACCUUGCUAAAGCAGGACCCUACAAUAGGCUGCACAUGAAAGUGCCCAUAAGGCCUACCUUGUAAUUUUGGGUAUCUUAAUCAUAGCUGUAUCAUUCGACCCUUUAGCAGUGAGCUUUGGUUCCAACACAACUAAUUUGUGGCAAUAAUAGUCAUAUUAAAUACUAUAAACAUUUCAUCAUGAAUAAUGAGAAAUAAUUUGUAGUUAUUUUUGAUGACAGACUUUUCUAUUUCUCACUACUCUCUUCAAUUAGAACAAAAUGAUGUUGUGUACAAAUGCUAUAAUGUCUACACAGGAAAAAUAAUAGUAGUUGGAAACAUUUUUACACAUGCAUUUUAUUAGGUUGAGUGAAAAACAUUCUAGGCACGUACUGUCUUUAUAACAUUUCCUCUUGCAUCUGACAUACCAAAUUUAUAUGGUGUCGUGGCCUCAAUUUUCUGUCUCCAAACAUUUUUCUUUAUUGGGGAUAGGCAAAGAGAUUGGGCAAUAAAGAGAAUGUGUCAUGGUU